AUGAGAGUUAGUCCUUUAGUGACACUUGGUAAUCCUCAAAGGAGGCAACUUGGUUGUGAACCUGCUUCAAGGGUUCUCAUGAAACUGCUAUACAAGUUGAAGAGAGCUAUGAGACGUCAUAGGAACAUUCCACAGUAUAGGUAUGAUCUUCGUAGCUAUUGUCUUAAUUUCAGUGAUCAAACACUUUGUAUAGAUUGA